UAGGGAAUCUUCGGCAAUGGACGAAAGUCUGACCGAGCAACGCCGCGUGAGUGAAGAAGGUUUUCGGAUCGUAAAACUCUGUUGUUAGAGAAGAACAAGGACGUUAGUAACUGAACGUCCCCUGACGGUAUCUAACCAGAAAGCCACGGCUAACUACGUGCCAGCAGCCGCGGUAAUACGUAGGUGGCAAGCGUUGUCCGGAUUUAUUGGGCGUAAAGCGAGCGCAGGCGGUUUCUUAAGUCUGAUGUGAAAGCCCCCGGCUCAACCGGGGGGGGUCAUUGGAAACUGGGAGACUUGAGUGCAGAAGAGGGGAGUGGAAUUCCAUGUGUAGCGGUGAAAGGCGUAGAUAUAUGGAGGAACACCAGUGGCGAAGGCGGCUCUCUGGUCUGUAACUGACGCUGAGGCUCGAAAGCGUGGGGAGCAAACAGG
rnacentral:rRNA from 1 species